AACGAACGCUGGCGGCAGGCUUAACACAUGCAAGUCGAGCGCCCCGCAAGGGGAGCGGCAGACGGGUGAGUAACGCGUGGGAAUCUACCCAUCUCUACGGAAUAACGCAUGGAAACGUGUGCUAAUACCGUAUACGUCCUUCGGGAGAAAGAUUUAUCGGAGAUGGAUGAGCCCGCGUUGGAUUAGCUAGUUGGGGGGGUAAAGUCCUACCAAGGCGACGAUCCAUAGCUGGUCUGAGAGGAUGAUCAGCCACACUGGGACUGAGACACGGCCCAGACUCCUACGGGAGGCAGCAGUGGGGAAUAUUGGACAAUGGGCGCGAGCCUGAUCCAGCCAUGCCGCGUGAGUGAUGAAGGCCCUAGGGUUGUAAAGCUCUUUCACCGGUGAAGAUAAUGACGGUAACCGGAGAAGAAGCCCCGGCUAACUUCGUGCCAGCCGCCGCAGUAAAAC
rnacentral:rRNA from 1 species